rnacentral:rRNA from 1 species
AUUGAACGCUGGCGGCAGGCCUAACACAUGCAAGUCGAACGGUAACAGGAAACAGCUUCCUGUUUCGCUGACGAGUGGCGGACGGGUGUGUAAUGCCUGGGAAACUGCCUGAUGGAGGGGGAUAACUACUGGAAACGGUCGCUAUUACCGCAUAAUGUCGCAAGACCAAAGAGGGGGACCUUCGGGCCUCUUGCCAUCGGAUGUGCCUAGAUUGGGUUAGGUAGUAGGUGGGGUAAAGGCUCACCUAGGAGACGUACCGUAGCUGGUCUGAGAGGAUGACCAGCCACACUGGAACUGAGACACGGUCCAGACUCCUACGGGAGGCAGCAGUGGGGAAUAUUGCACAAUGGGCGCAAGCAUGAUGCAGCCAUGCCGCGUGUAUGAAGAAGGCUUUCGGGUUGUAAAGUACUUUCAGCGGGGAGGAAGGGAGUAAAGUUAAUACCUUUACUCAUUGACGUUACCCGCAGAAGAAGCACCGGAUAACUCCGUG